rnacentral:rRNA from 1 species
GAUGUACGCUGGCGGCGUGCUUAACACAUGCAAGUCGAACGGUGAAGCAGGAGCUUGCUCUUGUGGAUCAGUGGCGAACGGGUGAGUAACACGUGAGCAACCUGCCCCUGACUCUGGGAUAAGCGCUGGAAACGGCGUCUAAUACUGGAUAUGUGAUGUGACCGCAUGGUCUGCAUCUGGAAAGAAUUUCGGUUGGGGAUGGGCUCGCGGCCUAUCAGCUUGUUGGUGGGGUAAUGGCUCACCAAGGCGUCGACGGGUAGCCGGCCUGAGAGGGUGACCGGCCACACUGGACUGAGACACGGCCCAGACUCCUACGGGAGGCAGCAGUGGGGAAUAUUGCACAAUGGGCGGAAGCCUGAUGCAGCAACGCCGCGUGAGGGAUGACGGCCUUCGGGUUGUAAACCUCUUUUAGCAGGGAAGAAGCGAAAGUGACGGUACCUGCAGAAAAAGCACCGGCUAACUACGUGCCAGCCGCCGCAGUAA